rnacentral:tRNA from 1 species
GGAUCUAUAGCUCAGUGAGAGAGUGUGUGUUUAGCAUGCACGAGGGCCUGUGUUCAAUCCCCAAUACCUCCA